GAUGAACGCUGGCGGCGUGCCUAAUACAUGCAAGUCGAGCGAACAGAUAAGGAGCUUGUUCCUUUGACGUUAGCGGCGGACGGGUGAGUAACACGUGGGUAACCUACCUAUAAGACUGGGAUAACUUCGGGAAACCGGAGCUAAUACCGGAUAACAUUUGGAACCGCAUGGUUCUAAAGUGAAAGAUGGUUUUGCUAUCACUUAUAGAUGGACCCGCGCCGUAUUAGCUAGUUGGUAAGGUAACGGCUUACCAAGGCAACGAUACGUAGCCGACCUGAGAGGGUGAUCGGCCACACUGGAACUGAGACACGGUCCAGACUCCUACGGGAGGCAGCAGUAGGGAAUCUUCCGCAAUGGGCGAAAGCCUGACGGAGCAACGCCGCGUGAGUGAUGAAGGGUUUCGGCUCGUAAAACUCUGUUAUUAGGGAAGAACAAAUGUGUAAGUAACUGUGCACGUCUUGACGGUACCUAAUCAGAAAGCCACGGCUAACUACGUG
rnacentral:rRNA from 1 species